UACGGAGGGUGCAAGCGUUAUCCGGAUUCACUGGGUUUAAAGGGUGCGUAGGUGGGUUGGUAAGUCAGUGGUGAAAUCUCCGGGCUUAACUCGGAAACUGCCGUUGAUACUAUCAAUCUUGAAUGUUGUGGAGGUAAGCGGAAUAUGUCAUGUAGCGGUGAAAUGCUUAGAUAUGACAUAGAACACCGAUAGCGAAGGCAGCCUUGCUACACAAUAAUUGACACUGAGGCACGAAAGCGUG
rnacentral:rRNA from 1 species